UACGAAGGGGGCUAGCGUUGCUCGGAAUCACUGGGCGUAAAGCGCACGUAGGCGGGUCUUUAAGUCAGGGGUGAAAUCCUGGAGCUCAACUCCAGAACUGCCUUUGAUACUGAGGAUCUCGAGUCCGGGAGAGGUGAGUGGAACUCCCAGUGUAGAGGUGAAAUUCGUAGAUAUUGGGAAGAACACCGGUGGCGAAGGCGGCUCUCUGGACCGAUACUGACGCUGAGGCGCGAAAGCGUGGGGAGCAAACAGG
rnacentral:rRNA from 1 species